UACGUAGGGACCGAGCGUUGUCCGGAAUCAUUGGGCGUAAAGAGCGUGUAGGCGGCCCCUUAAGUCCUGCGUGAAAUCCUGCGGCUCAACCGCAGACGGUCGUGGGAAACUGGAGGGCUAGAGUGCGGGAGAGGAGAGUGGAAUUCCCGGUGUAGCGGUGAAAUGCGCAGAUAUCGGGAGGAACACCGGUGGCGAAGGCGGAUCUCUGGGCCAUAACUGACGCUGAGGAGCGAAAGCAUGGGGAGCGAACAGG
rnacentral:rRNA from 1 species